CUCUCUCUCCAAUUCCUCUUUCUCUCUCUUCGAAUCUGACCACCAACAUCCAGCGAUUGCCUCUCGCCGGUCGCCGGUCACUGCUUACCGGUCGCCGCUCGCCUGUCGCCAGUCGCCAGUCAUCGCUCGUAUCUCGCGGUUAUGGCGUCGGUUGUUAUCGCGGUUCUGCUCGCCGUUCGCUGCUCUUGGUGGUGGUUGUGGUUCAAACCUCUCUCCACCGCCGUUGUUCUCCUUUCGCCGCCGCCGGUCACAACAAUUAAAUCGCUGCCGAUCGCAGCGCUGUUGUUUGAAAUUGAAAUCGUUGGUGGUCGAAAUCGCUCGUACCACCACCAACAUUGGCUCACCGCCGCUCUUUGGUCGCCGCCCUCCGCCGCUCUUUGAUCUCCGCUCGCCGCCUCUCUCCGAUCUCCACUCAUUGCAAUUCUAAUCGCAGUCACCAAACAAAAAAUCGAAAUCGAUUUAUCAAUCGAUUUAAAUGCUGAAUUUGAUGAAUUUUCUGACAAAAUUUAUCAAAGAUAGAGGUAAAAGAUAUGAAUCUAGUUGAUUUAAAUUUCUAAAUUUUGAUUUUAUCGAAUUAGGGUGUAUAUUGUACAAUUUCACUGACAUUUUAUUGUAAUUUCCUACUGCAAUUUCGGGCUUCCAUCAAACUUUUGACUACAAUUUCAUUUGCGAUGUUCAAUUCCUCCCACACAUCUGCAUAUUUAAGCUCGAGGUCAGGUUGUCAAUAUAUUUGCAUAUAUAUAUAUAUAUAUGCAAGCAUAUUUUCCUCUCUCAUGCAGUAUUGAAAACUCGGAAGACUUAUCAAAAUGAUGAUGUGGCAAGCCACAUAGGAGACCAGCUGUUUUUGUUUUUGUCAUUAAGGGCCUAUCGAGUGCUUGCAGAGUUACGGUGUGAAAAAAAAAAAUUAGAUUUUAUUAAAAGGAAAGAGUGUAAUAUUUGUGAAACUGUCUUUAAAAGAAAAUUAUUGCAAUACCUGAAAAACAGGAAAGUAUAAAGUAGGAAAUGGUUAUGAGUUUUACUGUUAUAUUCCUUGUAGAAUUGGGCCAGUUGGCCUUCCACCUUAACUUAUUUGACCUUCUAAAGA